rnacentral:rRNA from 1 species
GACGAACGCUGGCGGCGUGCUUAACACAUGCAAGUCGAACGGUCAGGCGCCUUCCUUUUUGGUGGGUGGUGAUGGGCGGCCGACGGGUGAGUAACACGAUAGUAACCUGCUCCCUCUGUCAGGACUACGGCAUGAAAGUGUUGCUACUACGGAAUAUUUUGAAUCUGUUGCAUGAAUGGUCUGAGAAGGAUUUUGUGUCGGUGGGGGAUGGGCCCGCGGCUUAUCAGCUUGUUGGUGAGGUGAUGGCCUACCAAGGCGGUGACGGGUAGCCGGCCUGAGAGGGUCGACCGUCCCGCUAGGGCUGCGACGCGGCGCAGACUACUACGGGAGGCAGCAGGGAGUAAUACUGCACAGUGGGCGCAAGGCUGAUGCAGCGCCGCCUCGUUGGGGAUGGAGUCCUGCGCGUUGUGAACCUCUUUCGCCGGUGAAGCAGUCCUGACUCGUUUGUGGGUGGGUUGACGGUAGCUGGAUAAGAAGCGCCGGCUAACUACGUG